rnacentral:misc_RNA from 1 species
GGCAAAUUUCCCUUCACAGAAAGUUUCCCUUUUCUGCUAACUCUACCUUCCAAGGAACUAAUACUUAGUCUGUUUGAGUUCACUAGAACUGAGCCACCAAAGUUGGUCAGAGGUUUACGAAAUACAGGUGAAGAUACAGUUGCCCUAUGGAACGAUGCAGACCCAUCGAGUACCGGUUGUUCAACGGUACCUCUAACCUGAAGCACAACUUCAGCAUUUCCCUGGAGCCAGUUUGCAUAUGGAGACAAAGCUGUCAACAACAUCAUGCCGGCGUCUUUAAUAUCAGCAUCGAUCCUGACUUCCCCGGCAUCAAGUAGGUUCCAGUUCAACCCUUUGAGGUUUUCAGCCAGCUGAGUGUCCCAACCCUCCUCACUUCUCUCUCUGGAGCUUCUUUUAUCACUAGCUUCAUCUACAGGUGCCUUGUUCUUCUCUGUGCCCCAACUACGAAUCCAG